CCUUCACAUUUUUUCCCUUCUCCCAUAACAAACUCAUAUACUCAUUAUACUCACCAUAAAAGAUUUACACACCUCACAAUUUACGCAAACAUUGAUGCACACAUAACAACACUCACAUAUACUCCCUUUUUCAUUUAACAUAUAUAUAUAAUACAACUCAUAUACAUUCUCACAAAAAAAAACACAUAGUAAGAAUCAAAAAAAUACUCAAAAAAAGGCAAAAUAGUAAAGAAAGUGACGGAAGAAAGAAGAGAAGGAGAAACAGAGGGAGAUUAAGAGAGGAAAAAUAGGUGGAGAGAAUUAUGAGGAAGGGGAAAGAAAAUAGUAAGAGAGGGAGAAAAAUUGAUAGAGAAAAAUAGAAUUGAAUGGUAUAGGGGAGAACAACUUUUUUCGACAAAUUUUUCACCGGAAUUGCCAUCUCCACCAGCGAUCAAGCUCUCGACCAGACCCACACAGCAAAAAAUCCACCAACUAUAUUAUCGAUUACCUUCAUUAAUGAACAACCAAAAAAUAGAGAGAAAAAUUGAUCAAAAAUCAGCACCAAAUUUUCUUUGUUUGAUACUCCAUCCAUUUCCCAUCAUUGGAUUAAAGCCGACUAGCAAACCACCGCCAAAAAAAUAAAAAAAUAAAGAGAACAAUUAGGUUGUGGCCAAAUAGAUAUUGAGGUUAUAUAUAUUAAUUGGGGUGUUCAUUAUUGAGGUCGAGUUGAGGUAUUCUGGUGUUGCUCCAAUCAUAAGUCGAGUAAUGUGAUGAUUUGGAAUUCGAUAAAGCUCGAAUUCCUUUUUCCCUAAUCUUUCUUAUAAUUUUGUGGAUCUGUGGUGAUGAUUUAUGAAAUAUUUUGUUACUAUGGUUGUUUGGUUUCUUGUUGGAAUUUGCAUAUGACAUUUUGAGGUUGUUCAUCCCUAUUUUGUGGUCUUCCAUUCUUAAUCUUGGGGAUGAGAAAUUUAUUUUGGCAUCCCAAUUGAUAUUAUUUAACUUAAAAUUGAGGAGGGAUUGGCCUUGAUAAAGUGAAUUAGUGAUUCAUUGAUGGUGGUUUAAUUAGGAAUAAAUAUUGAUAUUGUUGAACGUUAUAGUAUCAUUAUAAGUCAAAAUUAGUAGGCAAACGAUAGGUUGGG
rnacentral:lncRNA from 1 species